ACGCUCGACACCUACUGGAGGCAGCAGUGGGGAAUAUUGCACAAUGGGGGAAACCCUGAUGCAGCGACGCCGCGUGGAGGAAGAAGGUCUUCGGAUUGUAAACUCCUGUUGUUGGGGAAAAAGAGGAUGGUACCCAACAAGGAAGUGACGGCUAACUACGUGCCGNGCACGCCGGACGGUAAUCUGGAGGCCGGGCGUGGACGAAGGC
rnacentral:rRNA from 1 species